UUUUUUUAAGAACAAAACAAAGACUCAGAAACAAAGACCUAUCCCAGAUCAGACAUCCUGUAGCCUGUCUUCUCUCUUUGAACUCCAGGGAUGCUCCUCUUCUGACGGUUCUUUUUUGGGUCUGUAUGUUUCACAUAAAAGCCAGCGAGUACAGUACAGAUGUGUGGAUGUGCUGCUUUCACAGCGCAACAACCUCAAAUCAUUAGAUCACAUAUAAAAGGAGUAUUAUAGCAAAGACUGGUUCUAAUCUGCACAAAUCCUCCGGUCAGUUUAGCGGUCAGCAGUUGAAUGCUGUUUCAGGAGCAGCUGUGUCGUGCCGAGGCUCUGAUGUGGUUUAUUUCUGUCCGACGCACGGCAGCACACGCAACAACGGGAACAUUUCAGAUGGGCAGUGUUACAUCUGUCCCAAGGGUUAAUUUACCUUCCUUUCGUGGUCGUUUUUCAUGAAUUCCUAUGCCUCUACCAUAAUAGCAGUAGUACGGUUCCUAUUGUCCUGAUUUAAUUGCUUUUACUUCAGCUACCGAAGUUAAUACAGUUGAGUGGACUUAUGCAUGACAUUGAUGAAAUAUGUGUCUGUGUUUUCUGGUGGAAACACAAGUGCUGUUUAGAGCGGCAUCGAUCAGCUGUAGACGCGGCUGUACCCGCUGGAGUGUAGGGGUUAAUGCGUGGAGGGUCAACUGGGAAAUACAGCAUCUAACAGUAAUACAAUGGAAAACCUGCUGGAAAGUUGGAAAAAAAUGUGAAACAAAACUUAUUUACACAUAAUAUUGAGAAUUUGAAACGUUAAAAGAAUGACAGAUAAAGUGUCAAAUUAUAUUUUAUACCCAAAAAUGCAUCAGCUUUCAGAGAAAUGUGCAAUACUCAGUAUAUUGGAAUAGGAUUGAAUGAUAUGGCCAAAAAACAUUAAAGGUUCAGUACGUAC